rnacentral:rRNA from 1 species
ACGGGUGAGUAACGCGUAAAGACUUGCCUUGCCGUCUGGGACAACGUCUGGAAACGGACGCUAAUACCGGAUAUUAUCGCAUGAUUGAAAGCUAUAGCUGCGAGAGAGCUUUGCGUCCCAUUAGUUAGUUGGUGAGGUAACGGCUCACCAAGCCGACGAUCAGUAGCCGACCUGAGAGGGUGACCGGCCACAUUGGGACUGAGACACGGCCCAGACUCCUACGGGAGGCAGCAGUGGGGAAUAUUGCACAAUGGAGGAAACUCUGAUGCAGCGACGCCGCGUGAGUGAAGAAGUAUUUCGGUAUGUAAAGCUCUAUCAGCAGGGAAGACAGUGACGGUACCUGACUAAGAAGCUCCGGCUAAAUACGUGCCAGCAGCCGCGGUAAUACGGAUGGAGCAAGCGUUAUCCGGAUUUACUGGGUGUAAAGGGAGUGUAGGUGGUAUCACAAGUCAGAAGUGAAAGCCCGGGGCUCAACCCCGGGACUGCUUUUGAAACUGUGGAACUGGAGUGCAGGAGAGGUAAGUGGAAUUCCUAGUGUAGCGGUGAAAUGCGUAGAUAUUAGGAGGAACACCAGUGGCGAAGGCGGCUUACUGGACUGUAACUGACACUGAGGCUCGAAAGCGUGGGG